AUUGAACGCUGGCGGCAGGCCUAACACAUGCAAGUCGAGCGAGCGGCGGACGGGUGAGUAAUGUCUGGGAAACUGCCUGAUGGAGGGGGAUAACUACUGGAAACGGUAGCUAAUACCGCAUACCAUCAGAUGUGCCCAGAUGGGAUUAGCUAGUAGGUGGGGUAACGGCUCACAUAGGCGACGAUCCCUAGCUGGUCUGAGAGGAUGAGCAGCAACACUGGAACUGAGACACGGCCCAGACUCCAACGGGAGGCAGAGGUGGGGAAUAUUGGACAAUGGGGGCAGGCCUGAGGCGCACAGGCCGGUUGUGGGAGAAGGGCCUUCGGUGUGUAAAGCAUUUUCAGCGGGAAGACGUUACCCGCAGAGGAAGCACCGGCUAACUCCGUGCCAGCAGCCGCGGUAAUUC
rnacentral:rRNA from 1 species